GUUCUGUAGAUGUCUAUUAUGUCCAAUUGGUCAAAUGUCGAAUUUAACUCCAGGAUUUCUUUGUUAGUUUUCUGCCUUGAUGAUCUAACUCUGUCAAUGGGAUGUUGAAGUCACCCACUCCCAUGGUGUGGCUAAGUAUUUUUAUCUUUCUCCUACCCUUUACCUUGAGUCUAUCAGUGUCAUCACGUGUAAGAUGGGUCUCUUGAAGACAGCAGAUGGUUCUACUCCUGAGUGCUCCCUUCAGCCUACUCCACGAAGUGAUGACAACUUUAAUUAAUAUUCCCUCUCCAAAUCCCUUCAACAUUUACCUGAUGCUGGGUUGUAAUCCAUCAGUUUGUCUGGAAUGUGACAUGGAGAUACGGAGUCCUGGAAGACUGACCUGGGGCCCAAACAUGAUCCUCAAACCAGUUUGUUGUUUGAAUUUCUUCUCAGCCCUCUUUAACAUCAACCCAGCUCUCUCUGACCUACUGAAGGGUCAACCUCAAGAAACCAACUCCAACUGAUGGCCAUCCAUAGAAUACAUAGCUCUUCAGGGAGCUUUCAUGCCAUUACUGCCUCACUCUCAUACUUCCGUUUAAGCCUCCGAGAUUCAAAAUAAUUAGCCUCUACUGCUGCCAACAUGUCCAGGGAAAAAUAACCAGAGGGACUAGAAAAUGAGUAUGCCACAGAAGAAAUCAAGAAAAUGUUUCUAACAAAAUACAAACUUUGGGCAUGUAAGUUUGGAGAGUCAUCUAAGAAGAAAGAAAAUUAAUUCAAGCAAGACUAAAUCUCAUGGUUGCCAAGAUGAUUUUUUUCAUUAUACUUUAAGUUCUGGGAUACAUGUGCAGAACAUGCAGGUUUGUUACAUAGGUACACACAUGCCAUGGUGGUUUGCUGCACCCAUCAACCCGUCAUCUACAUUAGGUGUUUCUCCUAAUGCACCCCACCCUCUAACAGGCCCCAAUGUAUGAUGUUCCCCUCACUGUGUCCAUGUGUUCUCAUUGUUCAACUCCCAUUUAUGAGUGAGAAUAAGGAGUGUUUGGUUUGCUGUUCCUGUGUUAGUUAAUGAGACUCAUGGCUUCCAGCAUAAUCCAUGUCCCUGCAAAGAACAUAAACUCAUUCUUUUUUA